rnacentral:misc_RNA from 1 species
UGGUGGCAACCCACUGGACGGCUCGCUUGCCAACUUCUCAAUGCAUUUCCAUGCGUUCGACGCAUGGAAUGAUGGAUGGUUCCUGUGCUGUUUACCGUGAAUGUGGAAUUCGGUGUCUUGUUGGCAUGUAGCUCCGUCGACUGCCUUAAGGGGCAGUGGAUGGACAGCGCAGUAGUCCUCGCGGUCCACGCUUGCCUAGCCUCUUGAUGAGUAUGGACGCGAUGGGCCGCGGGGAGCUUACUCGAUCUCUUGGAUGCGGAAUGUCUCAAUGGCAUGUGGCUUUGUAGCCUUUAUGUGCCUUAUUAUGUUGCACCAAACGGAUGACACUCAUGCCUCGCCAUUCUUGACCCCCGGGCCUUGUGCUUGUGAGUCAUGUGGCGGUAUUGAUGUCGUCAAUGGAUGCUACCUGGUUGAUCCUGCCAGUAGUCAUAUGCUUGUCUCAAAGAUUAAGCCAUGCAUG